rnacentral:lncRNA from 1 species
UUUAGACUUGGUUUCAUACAAAACGGAGUUGAUAUGAGAAACUUGUGCUAUUUCAAAGUUUGCACAGUGCUGCAGGAUUUAUGCAGAAACUGUAUUUUCAGUCACUUUGGAUCUUUGUUUGACUAUGCAUUUGGACUCCGUUUAACUUGAAAUUUUGCCAAAUUUUAGCUUCGCUUGUCUACUUUAAUUCUGGAGAUUUUCACUUGAAAAUAUUGAACGAUCAAUUGUUGGUGAAUUUUUCUUUCUUACUGCCUGUUCCUGAAAAGUUUUUCAGAUUUGCAACCUAUCGUUACAAAACAAUGGAUUUGGGAUCCUUUACUCUCUUCUUUCUAUCACUGAUCUUUAACAAGUUUAUUUAAGUAUAAAUUUUAUGCUUUCAACUUAACUUUAAGUUUUGGAGAGGCAAGAUAGGUUACGUUCUUAACAAGUAUUAUCUUUGUGUGUUCUUAUCAAUGUUUUCUUUUUGGAAUAAGCCCACACAUGGUAGCUCUACUCACUGCUCAGUUUUAAGAGAAAAGUUAGGUUAGGACUGAUAGUAAAUUGCUACUUUUCAUAUAGGAUUGAAGGCUCGAGUGGAGUAAGUGAAGUGAGUGGUCAAGAGGUACUUGCUGGGAGUUGUACAUAAGAGAUUCCAGGUAGGGGGUCUUCACUAGUUAGUAAUUUUUGUAAAAUGCUUUUCAUAUUUUUACGCAUCAUAUUGCAUUGAAAUUUUAUGUGAUGACUUGAGAGUGAAGGGAGCAAAAUGACUACCUUGGGUUUUGAUCCCCUAAACCUCCGGAGGGGCUAUAUGGACUGGAGGACGUCUAACAUCCUUUGAGGUGUGGCGUCACUCCUACAUGGUAUGGUGUAAACGGCCACUCUUGCUACUUCUUGCUUGUGGUUUAAUUAAUUAUUUCAGCAAUGUUUAUUUCAGCAAGUAGUUGGCAUUAAGACCGGUCAUCAGUAUUUAGAAAAUGGGUACCCUGAGCAUGUGGUUCACUGAAAUUUCUCAUAACAAAUCUCUAUUGAUGCUUCUGAUG